GAGAGAUUUUUCAGAGUCAUGUUAAGUAGAAUUUGUAAUUCGAAGUUUAUCUGAUUCUUUUAUGUAUGUAUGUAUGUUUCUAUGUUAUUCUGUUUGGAGCAUCUAUAAAAUCGGGAACGUUGGAGCAUUACCUUAUCUUCUUUUUUGGUGUUUAACUUUUAUUUGCAAUUACAUAAUUAAAUGUUUACCGGACCAGGGCAAAGUUUUACCCGAAAAUAAUUAUUAAAAUUAAACUUAACCUAUUUAUUGAUAAAAGAUGGGAAUACACGUUGAUUCGAACUAUGAUAUAGGAAUGUGAAUGAAAUGGUUUUAUUAAAAAUGGAAGAACUAAAGACGCUUAAGUCGAGUGCACAACCACCAGAUACCCUUUACUGAACCCGUCUGCGUUCUGCGUUAACCCUUCUAGUUUGCGUCAAAAAGGACAAAAGGAAAAAAGAAGUCAUCACUCAGCUUAAAUAUACCUCAUAUUUUGGCAAGAGUCUCUUUUGUUGCGUUGCAAAAUGACAAAAAUCCAUAUUUAUAUUUUGGGACGACUUUAAAACCAUUCUGCUUUGAAAAAAAUAUGGUUUUUCGAUGAAGUAAAUUUAAGUUGUAUUUAUAUUUUGGACGACAUAAAAAUGGUCUGGUAUAUAGAUAAUAUAUUUGACUUGCCAAAUUAUUCGAAGACAGGUUGCAAUUUAUGAAGUAACAAAACUUCCUGUUACAUAGAUUUAGCUGAAUACGAUUUAUAAACUGUCGUCUGUUAUGAUGAUAGCAUGAUAGUUAGCAUUAACGAUUUAGACUCUAACUACGUAAAUAUGACCCCAGAUCAAGUUUACUUUCAAUGACCAUCAUAUAUUUUUUUCAGUCUACUUUUUCUUUCAAAAACUGUGCUCCUACCAAAAAAUUCAAUAAUUCUAUUAUAAUUCAUAUGGUAGCUAUGAUUUGAUAACUGUUUUGGCUUGUAAAUAACGUUAGUGUCUAUUGAGAAAGUGAGUUGUUGGUUUUAAUUUCCAUAACGGGUACCAGAUAGUUGAGGCACUCGGAUGUAUUUUCGUGAAUUCGAUCACUGUGCAACCUUUAAAAAUUUUAAUAAGUAUGAUCAACAGAUACCGAAUUCAAUUAAAGAAUACACACACUGAGGGUAGGAUUCGUAUAACAUAUUUUACAAUAAAAUAAAAAUACGUAACUGAA